rnacentral:lncRNA from 1 species
AGAAUUUGCAAAUACUUGAGAUUUGAGAAACAGUUAGGCCAUGGUUCCAAUGGUUGCCCAAUAUGUGGAGGUUUAUGCUUCCAUUGCUAUUCCAAUUGGGUUGAAAACUCGUGUCUCCCAAUGAACCUGCAAAAUUCAUAGGCUCGUGUAUAUAUUAAUUGACAAAGACUCUCAAUAGUAUAUUAAGCAUAUAUAUAUACCAAGGGAGGAAUGAAAGGGUAUUUGAUAAUUUGAGAGGAUUAGAGGAAAAUCAAUGGUGACUAAAAAGACUCAUCUGAUAUAUUGAAACAUGUAAUGACAAUAGAAAUUUUAAACCCUAGACGAAGAAUUUACAAGAAUCGUGUCGGGGGCAUCAUCACAACAUUUUGCUUCUAAAUCACAUUAGGCGAGCACUUGCAAAGUUGCAAUAGGCAGAGAUUAUAUCCCUCUCCUCAAAAAAGAGAGCAUAAUAUAAGAGUCAACUCUUUUAUUCUUGAUGUUUCCAAACACCGUCUUACAAGUAAUUACUCCCUUCGUUUCAUAAUAAAUCUUUACUUUUUGAGAAGUUGAGGAUUCAACACAGAAUUGGAACAUUAUUCAACAAAAACAUACGAAACUGGAAAAUAUGGUGCAUCAACCAAAUCCGGCAAAUUAUGCUAGUAAUAAAUUGAGCAUAAAUGUCGAAUAAAAAUUAGAUUAUAAUGUUAAACACUUGGUUCCUAUCUUUAUAUAUGCAUUGAUCACCAUCCAACUCAUUCUAUCUUGGAUACAUGUUGGAGAGAGGCUUUCUUUAUUACAAGGACUUGAGAUGAGAAACGAAGUUGAGCAUAUAUGUAGAGCAUUGAGCUGCUAUGGCGAAGUGGAGUGAAAGGUCUUAGAAAGCCAUCGAGUGAAAAUCCAUCGAUCCAGACGCAACCUCGAUUUCCUUCUCUUCAUCUGCUGCUUCUGCUCGUCAUUCGGAGUCACAGGCGAAGCACGUGUGGUGGAGCUACUCGGAAGCACCUCAGCAGCAACAGUGUGGCUACUGAUCAAAGGCGAAACGCGGCUUCUCACAGUCUUAGGAGAAGCUGAAGCAGGGCUGCCGCUGGUCCCCGAGGCGGUGGAGCCGCCGCUGGGAGUCCUCGAGUGGUCGUGAAACAAUUGCCAAGUUCUUGUUUUCGCACCGCAGCUCUCACCAGCCUCUCCCAAUCAUCAUACACUUUAGGCAUCCUUUUUACAUUCUCUAUACUAAUCACUUCUUCCUCACUACCAUCAUCAUCAUAUAUAGAUGUAAAUAGGUGGUGGGAUCACCCUUGACUUUUGUUUCCUUCGAAAUUUCGAUGCAGCUGCAAGCUGGCGAGAGCAUUACCGACACAGCGCAAAAUUAAAUUUCUUUUUUCUUAUUCAUAGGCUUCAAA